rnacentral:rRNA from 1 species
GAUAAACGCUGGCGGGAGGCCUAACACAUGCAAGUCGAGCGGUAACACUUCGGGUGACGAGCGGCGAACGGCUGAGGAACACGUUGAUACCUGCCCCGAACUCAGGGAUAACAUCGAGAAAUCGGUGCUAAUACCGGAUAGUCCCGAAAGGGUAAAGAUUUUUCGGUUCGGGAGGGGUCUGCGGCGUAUCACGCUUGUUGGUAAGGUAAAAGCUUACCAAGGCUAUGACGCGUAUCUGGUGUGAGAGCACGACCAGACAGAGUGGGACUGAGACACGGCCCAC